rnacentral:lncRNA from 10 species
UCCCCGGCUCCGCCCACUCGCGUCUCCGCCCGGACCUGCGACGGUCCCGCCCCCUUGACGGGGCCGCGCGGGCGAGUUCCAUGCCUGUCCAGCGCUGAGAGCUGCCGGCCAACUUCGCGGUCUCCACGUCGCGCUUAACGUGGCAGCAGCACGCACUUCCAGCAUCUUUUUUUAGACAGCAUCUUUUUCAGCCUCGCUCUGUCGCCGAGGCUGGAGGGCAGUGGCGCGAUCUAGGCUCACUGCAGCCUUGACCUCCCGGGUUCAAGCGAUCCUCCUGCCUCAGCCUCCGGAGUAGCUGGGACCACAGGCGCGCGCCGCCACGCCCGGCUGUGCGUGGCGGCGGCAGUGAGAAUGAGUUCUUCGAGAUCGCCGGGAGACCACACAAUAACGACGAAGUUACUUGCCGGGCUACCCGCCGAGACUUGAAAACUUCGCGGCGACUUCUCUCGCCGGCCUUAGCAUCGCCCCCAUUUUUCAGGUUACAGGACAGGCCUGCAACUGCAAAACGCUUUGUAAACCACAGGGCCCCGCGCGGGUGUGCGCCACUGGGUUAGCUGAGCUGCAGCCCGGGCCGGGCGGGCUGGGACGUGAGCAAGCCGGGGGAGACGGGAGAGCCAUGGGGAGCCAGAUCCCACCUUCGCGUGACCUUGGGCAAAUCACAACCUCGCCUAAGGCCCGGAAUGACUCUGCGCGGAGAGGAAGAGCACUGAGUGCGGGAGGGCAUCGACGUUUUGGUGUUGGUUGCUCUCGUAUCGUGAUUUCUUCUGAGUCUCAAAACUCUUUGCAGUAGGUUAUUGUUGAAAUAGAUUACCACAGGCCGGGCGCGGUGGCUCACGCCUGUAAUCCAGCACUUUAGGAGGCCGAGGCGGGCGGAUCACUUGAAGUCAGGAGUUCGAGACCAGCCUGGCCAACAUGGUGAAACCCCGUCUCUACUAAAAAUACAAAAGUAGCCGGGCAUGAUGGCUGGCGCCUGUAAUCCCAGCUACUCGGGAGGCUGAGGCAGGAGAAUC